UACGUAGGGUGCAAGCGUUAUCCGGAAUUAUUGGGCGUAAAGAGCUCGUAGGCGGUUUGUCGCGUCUGCUGUGAAAACUGGAGGCUCAACCUCCAGCCUGCAGUGGGUACGGGCAGACUAGAGUGUGGUAGGGGAGACUGGAAUUCCUGGUGUAGCGGUGGAAUGCGCAGAUAUCAGGAGGAACACCGAUGGCGAAGGCAGGUCUCUGGGCCAUUACUGACACUGAGAAGCGAAAGCAUGGGGAGCGAACAGG
rnacentral:rRNA from 1 species